rnacentral:rRNA from 1 species
AGUAAGGAAUAUUGGACAAUGCCCGCAAGGGUGAUCCAGCCAUGCCGCGUGCAGGAAGAAGGCCCUAUGGGUCGUAAACUGCUUUUACACCAGAGAAAACCCUCCUUCGUGAAGGAGGCUGAUAGUACGGUGAGAAUAAGCAUCGGCUAACUUCGUGCCAGCAGCCGCGGUAAGACGAAGGAUGCAAGCGUUAUCCGGAUUCAUUGGGUUUAAAGGGAGCGUAGGCGGCCUUAUAAGUCAGUGGUGAAAUCUCGCAGCUUAACUGCGAAAUUGCCAUUGAUACUGUAGGGCUUGAGUACAGUUGCCGUUGGCGGAAUAUGACAUGUAGUGGUGAAAUACAUAGAGAUGUCAUAGAACACCGAUUGCGAAGGCAGCUAACGAAACUGUAACUGACGCUGAGGCUCGAAAGUGUGGGGAUCAAA